rnacentral:rRNA from 1 species
UACGUAGGGGGCUAGCGUUGUCCGGAUUUAUUGGGCGUAAAGAGCGUGUAGGCGGCCAGGUAGGUCUGCUGUGAAAACUCGAGGCUCAACCUCGAGACGUCGGCGGAAACCAUCUGGCUAGAGUCCGGAAGAGGAGAGUGGAAUUCCUGGUGUAGCGGUGAAAUGCGCAGAUAUCAGGAGGAACACCAGUGGCGAAGGCGGCUCACUGGACUGGUAUUGACGCUGAGGUGCGAAAGCGUGGGGAGCGAACGG